rnacentral:rRNA from 1 species
UACAGAGGGUGCGAGCGUUGUCCGGAAUCACUGGGCGUAAAGGGUGCGUAGGCGGUCUGACAAGUCUGAUGUGAAAUCUAUGGGCUCAACCCAUAGUCUGCAUCGGAAACUGUCGGGCUUGAGUAUGGGAGAGGUGAGUGGAAUUUCCGGUGUAGCGGUGAAAUGCGUAGAUAUCGGAAGGAACACCUGUGGCGAAAGCGGCUCACUGGACCAGUUACUGACGCUGA